CCUCCGGGCGCUCCGGUUUCCUCCCACAGUCCAAAGACAUGCAGCUUAGAUUGAUUGAAGACUCUAAAUUGUCCCUGUGAAGGUGUGUGUCUCUAUGCUUAUAUAUGCCACUGUUAAGGGUCCCCGGCACGGUGACAGCAAUAACAAAAGGAAUGGAAAAGGUAGAGUGUAUGAGCAAUGAUGACAGGAGUACGCAUGUCUUUAUCCAGAUUACUUUUAUUAAAUCUUUUGCAAGUCAUACAAAACACACAAUCAAAUA